rnacentral:lncRNA from 1 species
CAUACAUAGACCAGAUUUAAUUAUUUCUUGGUGAACAGGGAAAAAAUACUUAAGUAAUUAAAGAAAUGUCAAAGUACAAGUGAUAAAUCAAGCUUUAAUAUUGUCAAAACCUACUAUUUUAUGUUUACAAAAAAAAAUUAUAAUCGCUCGCCUUUACUUUUCACGCUUCGCCUAUAAAAUUAGCAAAUUAAAUAUUUUUUUAUUAAAAUUUUCAAAUCGCUCACUCGCCCC